AAAAACUAAUUUGAAAGAUGAGUAGAUAUUAAUUUGUUACUCAGAGAGUUCCUAUCUGGUGAAAUGGAAUUAAUGAAUAAUAUUGAAGAUGGUCUUUUGGUAAACAGGUACUGAUGAGUUGUUCAGACGAGUUAGUAAUGGUUGGUGCCCAUUAUCGCAGCAGAGUGUUAUGAUGCACUUACUGAGGCAACUAUUGUGAGAUAGUUGUGAAUAACGGUGGUACCGCGAAAAAAGCCUUUGCCCGUUUG
rnacentral:ncRNA from 1 species